rnacentral:misc_RNA from 1 species
AAGGAUCAUUACCGAAUAUCCUCUCUGUGUUCCUCCUUGUAGUAGUGAAAUGGGGACCCGUGCUGACUGAAUUGCUCAUCCAUCACACAUGGUGGGUGGGCCAGUUCAGGAUGGGCGAGGUUGUUGAAGUCGAUUGGCCGGCUGCUGCGCCUUUUGGUCUCCAUCCUGCUGCUACGUUUUUCUAUUUUACCAAUCUGUCGCAUGUUGGUGGCAUCCUGUGCCCUUAAAUAUAUAUAAAUAUAACUUUCAACAACGGAUCUCUUGGCUCUC